UGCUACGAUUGGUUCGAAUUGUCUGAGUAGAGAUGUUCGCGGAUUGGUGUUCUACCGUAAUUGUGUCUUUACGGUAGUGUCUGCGCCGGGUUAAACCGCACAGUCUAGUCAUUACACCUAACCGCAUAACCCAUCGACUAAACUGUCGCAACGAGCGCUGGCGCCAUGCCCAUUACAGUGACCGUAAUUCGCAUUUGACUUCCGUCCAGCUGGGCUUCAGAUGGUCAUUUGGUGCAUAAUGAAAGAUAAUGGCAUUGAUCAUGAAAAUGUCGGAUCAUAGGUAAAUUUGGCAAUGUCUGCAUCGAACGUAUGAUUACACAACUGUACGCGAAUACGGCGCAGCUCCCGCGUUUGAUCAGGCGACGACAUUCCACGUACGAGCGAACAGCUGUUUCAACUUUGCCACCGCGAGAUUUGACGACGAUCACAGCGAAACAACCACGUUUAAAAAUGAGAAGAACUAAAUUCCAAUUGCACACAGACAUUUCUAAAAUAAUAAAAAUUUUACUCAAUUUAUAACGUAA